GAAAUAAAUUUUACUUUAUUUUUGGUAAAACGGACAAUCCAUAAUUUGAGAAUAUUUUUCAUUAAAGCGACUUGAAAUUAAAGUUGUAAAGAAUUGAUUAAAUUCAUUUGUAAAUAUACUUAAUAAAGUAAGUUACGUUAUAACGGUCACUAUAGAUAAAUGUUGUUAAAGGUCAAUAUAACAUGUCAAGCCUCAAGCUAAGUUAAACACUUUACAAGUUCGUUAUGCAACUUUUCUUCGGUCAUAUCGAAUACACAGAUAAUUCAAUUGAUAUAUGGAUUGAACUUUAUCCAGUUACGAAUAAUUAAAUAAGACAUCAAACAAAAUACGUGAUGUCCAUGUAUAUUAAAUAGCGGUCAGUUGGGUGUUUCCAACAACAAAAAUGUGAGGAGAAAAGAAGGAAAUUUAGCAAGAAAUUAUUAUAAACUGUUAGCAAAAGUAUUAAACAAAUAACUUAAAUGGGCCUCAGUUUAUUGCUAACGAAAGUACUAUAUAAACCUGUUUCGCCCAACGCUAGGCACUUCGGUGUUGCGGCAUAUUAAAAUAUUAGAAACUUCAUUUCUAUUAUUCACAGGUUAGUUGAACUAUUUUAUUUAAGUUUUAAGCAGUAAACUGAGUACUCGAUAAAGAUACAGUAUUUUUAUAUUAUCAUUUAUUCAAAAGCAAAGUUAAUUCAAAUCAUUAAAUUACUUGGUUUAAAUGUUUAUGCAAAGUUGUGUCAAUAUCAGAUAAACAAUAAAUGCAAUAUUUAAUUAAAUAGACUAGAACAUAAAUUCUCUUUCUAUUAUCAAGUUUAAAUGGACAACUUAUUUACAUAAUUUAAGAUGUUAACCUCAUAAGGUCAACCGCUUAUUUAUAUAUAUAUAAUGGAAACUUCUUCAAUUAUUCUUUAUCUAUAUUUGUUAUGUUUGUAUAUAUUAUUAUGUAUUGUUAAUUGUAAUACAUGACUUCGGUGUUGCGGCAUAUUAAAAUAUUAGAAACUUCAUUUCUAUUAUUCACAGGUUAGUUGAACUAUUUUAUUUAAGUUUUAAGCAGUAAACUGAGUACUCGAUAAAGAUACAGUAUUUUUAUAUUAUCAUUUAUUCAAAAGCAAAGUUAAUUCAAAUCAUUAAAUUACUUGGUUUAAAUGUUUAUGCAAAUUGUGUCAAUAUCAGAUAAACAAUAAAUGCAAUAUUUAAUUAAAUAGACUAGAACAUAAAUUCUCUUUCUAUUAUCAAGUUUAAAUGGACAACUUAUUUACAUAAUUUAAGAUGUUAACCUCAUAAGGUCAACCGCUUAUUUAUAUAUAUAUAAUGGAAACUUCUUCAAUUAUUCUUUAUCUAUAUUUGUUAUGUUUGUAUAUAUUAUUAUGUAUUGUUAAUUGUAAUACAUGACUUCGGUGUUGCGGCAUAUUAAAAUAUUAGAAACUUCA